AACCUUUUUCAUUAAAUCCCCAAUUGACUCCCUCAGUCGUCCAGUUAUUCAUCGAUUAUUUUUCCGAUAAAGUUCAUAAAUCUAACUUUAUCAAGGCUAUGGUGUGCUACUUCUGGUUUGGAAUGCGGCUUUCAAGCGUCACCAUUAAUUUAUUCGCCGACUUCUUCUUUACUUCUGCGUGAAUCGAUAAAUAAGGGGACAAUACGGUGCGUUUAUUGAAACAAUGGAACUUGAUUUGACCCAGAUGCAUACUAAGUUUAGUACGAAGAAAACAGGAUGAUGCUCUAUCUUAUGGACAGUUGCAAUGCUCCAAGCACUAUGACAUGCUACUCGAUAUCUUGUGUUAAAAAAGCGAAGAGGUGGCUUCUUUGGUCUGGCAAAGAAGGAAUAGCAACUGGGAGCAACGACCUUUAACUCAGUAUCAGGUAUAUGUAAUAAAUGUGCUACAUUUAUACUAUCACAGAUAGAGUAGUGCUAGUAUGUGGAAUAGCUUCCCGCAUGUAUUUCACAUCUAGUAUGUUGACUGUUGUACUUUUCUAAAGACAUAAGGUUAAGAUCUGUGGUUUGUCCUUGUGAAUGAUAUGAUCUGAUCGCCGUGCAUUAUUAUGGUUUUUGGUUCUAUAGUAAUUGAUAGUCAUACCUCUUAUUUGUACGGUUAUGCAGCUAGAAUAUACUACUCUUGAUGCUUCUGUUCUUGUUCACAUAUGGCUACACACAAACUGCUGGUGACCGAGAUGGGCAUUCCAAAAUUGAGCGGAAGUCUCCAUUGUACGAAUAGAGUACCUCUUGCUUUGUCUCUUGUGUUGUCUUUAUUUCAUCAGGCAUUGUGUUCUUUUGUUGUGUAUUAAUUCUAUCAACAAAUUUUUAUAUGCUCAGUUUUAACUUGUUUGUACAUUCUAAUGUGGCUAUUCUACAUUUCAUAAUCCUAUCUAUAUUCUUGUUAUGUAAGACUGAAAUCCGAUGGUGAGACUUUCAUAUUGUCCAACUUGGGCGUGUCUCGAUAUGGACAGGUUCGAUGUUAUUCUUCCUCUAGGCCAGGUUAGAAAUUAGAUACUGAUAUUUCAUCUAUUUCUUAUUACAAGAUAUUCAGUUCAUAGAAAGUAGCAACUAUUUUAAAGGUGGGAUCAUUAUUCAGGGGUCUAUUAUACCAUAGGAAGUAGCAACUAUUUCUCGUAUGCUUUAAUUCCUGUCCAUUUCUCUCGAUUCAUGUUUCUAUUUGUUAUCUAAUUAAAAUUCUUGUUGUCUGAAAACUUAUAUUCCUUUUUUAUUUUUUUUUGAAGCUGGUACUAUUUUGUCUGAAAACUUAUGUUCUUGUCAUCACAGAUUGAGUUUAUUUUUCAAUAAUGACAUGCAUUUUUAUUCUUAGAUACAUAUCCUCUUUGUUGUUGUAUUAUACUAGAAUUUGCAUUUUCUUCCUAGUGAUUAAUACCUCAAUGUAAUGUGGCAUAAUGGUUUUGUAGAUUUCUCUGCAACUAUAAAAACCCAACUGAUUUAGAAUCGUGGAAGGCGAAGAGAUAUAGGUGACAUUGCUACGAGAAGACAAGCAAAAGAAGUUCAAUGGGUUGAAGACUUGAUAAUGGUCCAGAGCUGGAGAAUGUCAAUAAGCUUACUAUAGUCUUGAGUUUAGAUAUUUGCUGACACUAGUUACUAGACUCAAAAUAACACUACCUGAGAGAUUCAAAUGGUGUAUUUUUUUUUUUUUUUAAUGUUGUUCACUCUGAAAUUAUGAGAAGUUGUCUUUGUUAUUAAUUUAAUGUAAUAUAUUAUGAUUGGAUGAAUUUAGCAUAUUUUGUUAUGAAUAUUUUAUUUCGUUAUGCAUGUGUGAAUAUUAUCACAAAAAAAAACAUUGAUGAUGUUGGAAUCACCUUCAUUGACAAAUUGACAUAUUUAUUGUCGAUAUAAGCAUUA